AUGCACGCUGGCGGCGUGCCUAAUACAUGCAAGUCGAGCGAACAGAUGAGGAGCUUGCUCCUCUGACGUUAGCGGCGGACGGGUGAGUAACACGUGGAUAACCUACCUAUAAGACUGGGAUAACUUCGGGAAACCGGAGCUAAUACCGGAUAAUAUAUUGAACCGCAUGGUUCAAUAGUGAAAGACGGUUUUGCUGUCACUUAUAGAUGGAUCCGCGCCGCAUUAGCUAGUUGGUAAGGUAACGGCUUACCAAGGCAACGAUGCGUAGCCGACCUGAGAGGGUGAUCGGCCACACUGGAACUGAGACACGGUCCAGACUCCUACGGGAGGCAGCAGUAGGGAAUCUUCCGCAAUGGGCGAAAGCCUGACGGAGCAACGCCGCGUGAGUGAUGAAGGUCUUCGGAUCGUAAAACUCUGUUAUUAGGGAAGAACAAAUGUGUAAGUAACUAUGCACGUCUUGACGGUACCUAAUCAGAAAGCCACGGCUAACUACGUG
rnacentral:rRNA from 1 species